ACCACGAUAGCUCGACUGGUAGAACAUCUGCCCGGCAUGCAGGGGUUGCCGGUUCGACUCCGGCUCGCGGCG
rnacentral:tRNA from 1 species